CCAGGAUUGAUAGAUUCUAUCUUGAUGUACAUCCUACUCCUACAGUGGACUAACUGUCAUCAAUAUCCAUUAUAAGGACUCAUUGAGACCCAUAUUUAUAUGUCAAUCAAACUCUAGUAGCCUCACUACGAGCAGCAGUGCCAUCUCAGAUCAAAGGACCAUUCACACAACUACAACAUUGAGAUGAGCACUAAUGAUUGAGUAGAAAU
rnacentral:lncRNA from 1 species